UACGUAGGGUGCGAGCGUUGUCCGGAUUUAUUGGGCGUAAAGAGCUUGUAGGCGGUCUGUCGCGUCUGCUGUGAAAAUCCGGGGCUCAACCCCGGACUUGCAGUGGGUACGGGCAGACUAGAGUGUGGUAGGGGAGACUGGAAUUCCUGGUGUAGCGGUGAAAUGCGCAGAUAUCAGGAGGAACACCGAUGGCGAAGGCAGGUCUCUGGGCCGCUACUGACGCUGAGACGCGAAAGCGUGGGGAGCGAACAGG
rnacentral:rRNA from 1 species